rnacentral:lncRNA from 1 species
AUGAUAGAUGCAGUAUUAGAUACACAGUCGAAAAAAAAUAAUUUAAUAUUUGCUGGUUUAGAUGAUAAUGUACAUAUAGAUAAAGAAAUAAACAGUUUAAUAAUGAUGGAAAAAAAUAAAAAAAAUAAAAAAAAAGGAGGUCUACACAAGGAUUAUGAAAAUGAUGGAGUAUUAGGUGUUGAUACCGCUACCACUUCCGGUGCAAAUAACAGUGGACACGAUCCAAUCCUUAAUGGAACCACUUCCAAAACAUCACCAAACCAAUCCUUUAACACUACUGAAACAAACAGCUAUUUCAAAUUUAAAGAUAACGAAGAAGUAGUAAAAUUUAUAAGCGAUAACAAACAAAAAUAUAUGGAUUACAUAGAUACGAAUAUGUUAAAACAAUUAAAAAGGUAUGUUACAAUGUUGAGUGAGGAAGAAAAAAAUAUAAAAAGUAGGAAAGGUGGUUUUACUGGAUCUGGUGCGGGAGAAUUGAAUAAAACAUAUAACCGUUCCGUAACAAAUCGUACUCGUACCAACUUAGGACAAUACGAAAACGAAGUAGAACAAAAUUAUGAAAAUAAAAAUGAAGUAAUUAAAAAUUUAUUAACUUUUUAUUAUAAAUUGAGAUUUGUAUGUAUUAGCAAAAAAGAAAAAGAAUUGAAAGAAGAAUUUGUGAGAGAAGAAGCAGAAAGUAUAAAAAAAUUAAAAUUGAAUCAUAAUAAAUUUUUAAAUAUAAAAAAGAAUUUGGAAAUGUCUAAUGUGUAUAUACAUGCCAACGGAAUUGAAGCAUCGUUGAAAGAACUAGAAACUAUAACAAAAUAUUUAGACGAAACAAAAGAAGAAGUUGAACAAAUAAAACAGAUUUCGGAGAAUAUUAUACAAAUUGAUAAUGUAGAAGAAGUUAGUAAAAAUAUCGAUAAUUUAAACAAUGAAUUAUGUGAAAUUAAAAAGUUAUGGUUAUUUAUUCAAAAAAAAGAACAAACGUUAGAUACGUUUUUUUUCUGUCCUUUUAAAGAUUUGAAUAUAGAAGAGUUUGAUAUAGCAAUUAAAAAGUUACAAAAUAAUUUUAAAAAAANNNNNNNNNNAAAAAAAAAAAAAAAAAAAAGUUAA